GACGAACGCUGGCGGCGUGCUUAACACAUGCAAGUCGAACGGAAAGGCCCUGCUUGUGUGGGGUGCUCGAGUGGCGAACGGGUGAGUAACACGUGAGUAACCUGCCCUUGACUUUGGGAUAACUUCAGGAAACUGGGGCUAAUACCGGAUAGGAGCUCCUGCUGCAUGGUGGGGGUUGGAAAGUUUCGGCGGUUGGGGAUGGACUGGCGGAUUAUCAGCUUGUUGGUGGGGUGGUGGCUUACCAAGGCUUUGACGGGUAGCCGGCCGGAGAGGGUGACCGGCCACAUGAGAACUGAGGUACGGCCCAGACUACUACGGGAGGCAGCAGUGGGGAAUAUUGCACAAUGGGCGGAAGUCUGAUGCAGCAACGCCGCGUGCGGGAUGACGGCCUUCGGGUUGUAAAACGCUUUCGCCUGUGACGAAGCUUGAGUGACGGUAAUGGGUAAAGAAGCACCGGCUAACUACGUG
rnacentral:rRNA from 1 species